rnacentral:lncRNA from 1 species
AGAGAGAGAGAGAGAGAGAGAGAGAGAGAGAGAGAGAGAGAGAGAGGCAGGGUUUGCUUGUGUGGUUGUUGUUUAAGGCUUAAGGGAAAGGAAGGGAGGGAGUGAUGGAGAAGGGUGGCAAUUGGGGAGUGUGGUUUUAAAGUUUCAAGAGGGGGGGAUUGGGUUUGAACUUUGAAAUUCCAAGGGGUCUAGAGGCUUCGAAGGGGGUUAUGAAUUUUGAAGUACUUGUUUGGUGGCUUGAAGAAUAAGAAGAGAUUAACAAUGGUUGACCAAUGACCCUAAUUAAUUAAAGGCUCCAAGAAUGACAUGAGAAAGGGCUGCUGCUUUCUAGAAUGAUAGGAGCACAACUUUGGUUUUUCAUUUCAAUCCACUAUUGAAAUGACAAAGUUGCCACUAUUUUAAUCUUAAUUUUAAAAAACUGGUUCACUAAAUUUUUUUUAUGUUUUCUUUAUCUUGUCAAUGAGGAGAGACCCGACUGAGCAAGAAAAACAGUCCAUUAAAACAGUGGUCAGGUGAAAGAUGCCUGCAAUUUAAAGUUUUCUGGCUCUUAUAUUUAACUCUAAUUUUCAGAUUGCCUGAAGAAGACUAAUGCCAGGAAAGGAAAUCAUUUUUCCCACAUAAAAUACAACGGACACUGUAUAUAAUAUAUUAUAUCAAGGGCAUUGUAGUCAUUGCAAGUGAGAGGGUGUUGAUGUUUGGGCACUUUGGCUAUCCACAAAUAAAAUAUAGAACAGAUUAUGGGAAUUCUGGUCUUGUAAUUUCGUACGUACCACUUUUGUUUGAGUUCACAUGUUUGGUCAUCCUUCUUCUUCUUGCACGAAACUAGGAAAUUUCUUCAUGACCUAUUGACUACGUUGGCACGUAUAGCCUGCAGGAAACAUGAGUUACUUUAUGCGCUUCAAAUUUGGCAGAUAAUGAUGCAGUUGAGUAAAGUUUAAGUCAGUUAGCCAAAAUAAUAAGCUCGCUUUUUUAGUUACAUUAAUUUAAAAUAGUUAGACUACCGCUUGUAUAAAAAGAAAAAUACUUACAAAAUAUAAUAAGUCAAUGACAAAUUAAUAUGUCACCUGAAAUCCCCCAAAAUAUUCUUUCACCAAAAAAGAUUAAGAGGGCGUGUCAUCACUUGUGUCAUUUCUUCAGCAAAGAUUUGGGGGAUCCCUAUUCCCUCCUAAAACUAUAUGCACCUUGCGUGUGCUAUGCCACUACUAUUGAAUUAAUUAUGAUAAUGGCUCAUGUCCAUAUAUUUUUGUCCAAAAUAAUUAUGAUUUUUUCUUUCUUAUCCUUUUAUGAAGUUGGUGGAGCUAGACUUCUUUCCGCAGUCAAACAACAAAGAUAACCCCUAACACCUCCAAAAACCAUUUAUUUUUUAUUUUUGGGUUUGUGGAUUUCAAUUGUGAAGAGAAGGCUGGUAAUUAAUGGUUUAUUUGGUUUCAAGGGGACGAAAGACACAAAAUUGUAGGGUCCAAACAUGGUAUUAGCUCCAAGGGCGGCUUGGGACACAAGUUUUCUUAUGACGCGUAGCUGACCCAGCUUCCUCCUCUUUUACUAUGACUUUUUUCUUUUUCUUUCACAAAUAAUUAAUUAAACAUGCGCGUGCCACGUACCCUCUCAUUUGCUUAUUACCCUAAGAAAACUGACAAGGACAUAUUUGUAAUUAAGGGUAUAAUAAUCAAACAUAAGCAACUUGCUAAUAAGGGGCUUUGAACCUCAGUGCUUUUCAAAAGUGAAAGAUUGAAAGGGACACAAAUGAGAACAACGACGUUUGGAAACAAUCAUAGCUUAUUUCUCAAAAUUUUGGUCAUAAGAAACAUGCAAUCAGGUCAAUGCAAAUGUUUUCAAGCGCGGCCUUGGAUUUAAAGCAUAUUCCGACUUGGGUUUGAUCAACUCAAGGGAAUAAUCAUCAACCUCUUUUACGAACACAUUUACCAUAAUUGGCAAUUAUUUUGAUGUAUGUAUGAAUCCUACAAUGAGUAUAGACAGUAAAUAUAACACAUAUAUAAAUGAUUGACAAUUAAUCAUAUGUAUCAUAAUAAAUUCAGCAUUACAUAAUUAAUUUACAAUCAUUCAUACGCGAGCAAAGCUCAUACAAAAUAAAAAAUGAAAAUUUUGUUUUAAGACCAAGUUGGGGGAAACUUGAGUUAAGUACAUGCAUUAGUAAUAAUGUUAGAAUGACAUAUCCAUAAAAAUAAUAUUAUUAACUCACUGGGUUUAUAAGCAACCCGCUGCGGUUUUCAUGAUUUGAGUCACCAAUGACGUUGAGACAAUCUUGAAACGACAUGAAUGUAUUUUAUUAUUAAAAUGAACGUCACAUUUUCAAUAACUUAAUUAUUAUUAGGUAUCAAACUUUCCCAUCCAAAUUCCAAUGUCAACACGCAUAUGCUUAUGCUUAUAAUUUAUAAUAAACUCGCCUCCUUUGAUAAAGUGGUUAUUUAUUUAAUUAAAAAUUCAGAAAAAUAAAAGCUGUACAAUGUACAUGGUUCUUCUGGAUUAUUUUAGACCAUUAUUAUUAUUACGUGGGUUCGAGGCAGAAAAUUCUUCUUAUUAAGAGAGUCAAACUAUGAAUAUUGUGAGAACCUAAUUAAAUCAAACCCUAGGUCAAAUAAUUCCUACUAUUUGGGGAUUAUUUGACCAAAUUGGGAGUCAAUCAACUUAAUUAGGAGUUACUCAAUUUAAUUGGGAAUUAUCCAAUUAAAUUGAACGUUACCUAAUUAGGUUGAGAUUUGAUUUGGUUAAUUACCACGAUCCCCAAUUAAAUGAGAAGUUAUCUAAUUGAAUCGGGAUUUGAUUUGAUACCUACCACAAUUAGGGAUUUGAUUUACCCUAAUAAAUCAAAUCCCUAAUUAAUCAAAUCAAUCCCAAAAAGGGGAGGAAUAAUUCCCUUCCAUCUACAGAAUUAUUCCUCAGAAACCCUAGCCUCCGAGACUACUAUAAAAGCAUAGUCAUACACAAUGGUUGAGGUACGUCAGAAUUACUACUAAAAUCUCUGCAGAAAAUUCCUCUCAAACCCUAGCCACCUCCUCUCUUUCUCUCUUUUACAUAAGGCUCCGGCCGCCCGAUUUAUAUUAUAAACACAUCUCGUACCCUAAUUUAGCUAUCGUUUCUCUAAAGAUCGAUUGAACUGACUUAGGCAUCGGAGGGCCUUUGGCCAACACCCCCCGGGUGUGGUCUUUUACUCCGAUCUGUUUUGCAGGGAGAAAGAGAGGCGGAGAAGACGAAGGAAUCUUGGGCGAAUAUUCUCCCGUGAGAUUAUUUGCACAAACAAAUUGGUGCUUUCAUUGAGAGCGCGAGUUAUACUCAACGCGUGCUCAAGGAAUCCGUUCCUCCUAUUUUUCAAUCCGUCGAAGCCUUCCAAACAACCAUGGUUGGAAGCAUGAACACGAGAGGCAAAGCCGCCGCGAUGGCUAGAUCCGCGACGACCCAAAGCCACUCCACCCACGAUCCCGCGAUCGACAUGGUGGCACCGCCACCUCUCACCACCGCACCGGCCACCGCCGCCGAACAUGGCGGAACUUCCCAUCAAGGUGGACUCGUUACCACCGCCGACCUAGGGCCGAUCUUGGAGCAACUCCAAGCAUUCCCUCCAUUGCCUCCACGCGCGACGCACGCUCCUGCAUACACCGCCAAUGAAAACCGAGCCCGUGUGCAGUUGGGCUCCACACACUUCUCUCCUCCCGAUCCACGAAGUCAAGCAGACCUUAAUCUAAGAGUCGACCAGCUAGCUCAGAGAAUGGAUGACCAAAGCGACCUAAUGAGGCAGCUCAUCAACCAAAUAGGCUUUGCUCAAAACCUUGGCCUUGGACAACCGGGCGAGGAGAGAAGGAUGGACGAACGCGCCGGCAGACGACUCGACGUCCGUGCCCGUUUGGGCCCGCAGGGAAAUGUACAUCAAAGGCUAGGCCCUCAAGGAGUUCAGCCAAACAACCAUCGCAACGAGGAUCGCGAAGAAAGGCGCUCAGCUGUCAACUCACAGAGAAGCGCUCUCGAAAGGCUAGGCCCCCAGGGAGGCCAGUUGGACAACCCUCACAAUGAGGACCAUGAGGAAAGACGCUCCGUUACUCACUCUCGGAGAACCAAUUCUCGUCGACAAGCUACAGAGAAUCUUUCGCAGGCGCAGUCCACCAACACUCCAACUAGGCAGCCCAGGCGAGAAGGUCGACCCUCGGAGGACAAUGAGGAAGUCAGUCAAUAUCGUGGAGGUCGCCAACGUGACCGACCAGCAAUGUGCGCAGAAGACGUUGAGAAGCUCGUGAAUGACCGACUUCGAGACUUGAAGACCGGAGGAAACUUCGAGGAUUCACUACGUAAGGAGAUGGACCAGGUGAGCUCUACGCCUUUCACCCUCGAUAUCGAGCAGGCCGCUCACCCGAAGCGAUUCUCGACGCCCUCGUUCAUACACUUCAAAGGGGAUUCUGAUCCCGAGAGCCACUUAAAACACUUCAAAAGUGUUAUGAUCCUCCACCAGGCUGACGACGCGCUAAUGUGCAAGGUAUUUACGAUAACCUUGCGAGGAGCAGCCCAAGACUGGUUCCACACCCUACCAUCCAGGUCGAUCAGCAGCUUCAAGGAGCUAGCUUACGUCUUCACCAAAGAAUACACCUCUUACCGGACAAUCAAGAAGAACCCUGAUCACCUGUACAACCUGCGCAAGAAGUCUGACGAAUCCCUUCGAGAUUACAUCAAGAGAUUCAAGGCAGAAAAGGCGAACAUUGUAGGAUGUGACGACCGAAUCGCGUCCUCCGCUUUCAAGAAAGGUCUUCCAGCUGAGCACAACUUGUACCGCGAGCUGACUAUCACUCCCAGCCAGACUCUGGCAGAGGUCUACGCGACUGCGGAACGCUACGUGCUCUGGGAUGACGAUCGAAUCGCCGCAAAGAAGUCUACAAAGCAGGAAGAUCAGCCAACUAAGCGGGCAGGCCAAAAAGGCGACAAAUUCAACAACCGAAACAAAGACAGGCGCAGGUCGCGCCCACAAGGGGAGGCUACGGCAGGAGAGAACUACACAAAGUUCACCAUCCCCAUACAUCAAAUCUUAGCCCAAGUGAAGAACAAACCUUGGGUAAGAAGGCCACCACCCUUGAAGGGAGAUCCGGACAAGAGAGACACUAGCAAAUACUGUGCCUUCCACGGGACGCACGGACAUACGACGAACAACUGCUUCGCUUGGAAAGCGCAUCUUGAAGAACUCGUGAGAGAAGGCCACUGCACUGAAUUCGUUGCGAAGCAGGCCAUCCAACGGAUUGAAGAUCGAGACACCGCCAAGGAGCCGCCUCAGAAGGUCAUAAGGAUUAACACAAUCCUAGCCGACUCCGAGGAGUCUGGGCUGACCAGCAAGGAAAAGAAGAGGAAGAUCAAACAGGCCACUGUGAUCUCUCAAGUCUCGACCGACCUUCCACUAGCAGAAGACGAUCCUGUGAUCGGCUUCCAAAAGAAAGAUCUGAACGGCCUCGACAUGCCACAUAACGACGCCCUUGUCAUCAGCAUUCAAAUCGCUCAGGCCAUGAUCGACCGAAUCCAUGCAGAUGAGGGCAGCGCAGCCAAUAUCCUACAACUGGCGGUCAUCCAACAGAUGGGCUUGGAGACAAAGAUCAACAAGUUAGCUAGAUCGCUGACUGGCUUUAAUGGUGCGACAACGGUUACCGUAGGCACGAUAGACCGCGAUGUCUACUCCCCACCUGUGAUUAGCCUGCAAACAUUCAUGGUCAUUAAUGAGGUCUCACCCUACAACGGCAUCCUGGGCAGACCAUGGAUUGGCAAGAUCAAUGCCAUAACCUCCGCCACACAUCAAAAAAUUCGGUACCCAAUCCCUGGGGGCGGUGUCGGCCAAAUCAACAGCGAUCAAGCAAUGGCAAGGAAAUGCUCCGCCCAAGGGCUGAAGAAGGGCAAACAAGCUCAGUUUCUCCCUGUGAGCCAGGCAGAUCUGGAGGAGGUAGAGCAACCGAAUCUUGCUAUCUUAUAGCAAUCAAAGCGUCAGGACCAAGCCGAGGAAAUCCGUCCAAAGGUCUUUCCGGCAGAAGGAUGGAAACCCGAGGAGGACGUCGAGUUAAUACCCUUGGAUCCUGACCAGCCAGACAGGAAAGCGCGGAUCGGCUCGCGUUUAAGCCCAGAGGAGAAGGUGGAGCUUACCACAUUCCUCCAGAGCAACAAAGACAUGUUCGCAUGGUCGCCAUCAGACAUGCCUGGCAUCGACCCAAACAUCAUCUGUCAUCGACUCCACGUCAACCCCGCGUGCAAGCCAGUGGCGCAGAAGAGACGCAACUUCGCACCCGAGCGAGUCGCUAUCAUCGAAGCCGAGAUUGACAAACUCCUAGCUGCCGGCUUCAUCGAAGAGGUCUCCUACUCAGAAUGGCUUGCCAACGUUGUCUUGGUGGCAAAACAAGAAAAGGGCAAAUGGAGAGUUUGCGUCGACUACACAGACCUCAACAAGGCAUGCCCUAAAGACAACUUCCCAUUGCCGAGAAUCGACCAACUCGUGGAUUCCACUUCUGGAAAUCAGCUGCUCAGCUUCAUGGACGCCUACUCCGGCUAUAACCAAAUCCUGAUGCACGAAGAUGACAAGGCGAAAACUUCUUUCAUCAUCGAGAGAGGGACCUACUGCUACAAGGUCAUGCCCUUUGGGCUGAAGAACGCCGGAGCAACCUAUCAAAGGCUUGUAAAUAAAAUCUUCAAGGAGCAGAUCGGCAAAACUAUGGAGGUCUACGUGGAUGACAUGCUGGUCAAAGCCCCAAAACGUGCAGAUCACAUUGGAAAUCUUGCUGAGUCAUUCAGCUUGCUCCGCCAGUAUCGCAUGAAGUUGAAUCCAAGUAAAUGCACGUUUGGUGUAUCCUCUGGCCGAUUCUUGGGAUACCUAGUCACGCAACGAGGUAUUGAGGCACACCCACGUCAAAUCAAAGCCAUUCUCGAGAUGAAAUCGCCCUCCACGGUGAAGGAAAUACAAAGUCUGACGGGCAGAGCAGCGGCCCUCAACCAAUUCCUCUCGAGAUCAACUGACAAGUGCAGACCAUUCUUCAAAGCUUUGAAGAAAGGACAAAGAGACAAAUGGGACGAGGAGUGCGAAAUAGCUUUCCAGAGUCUGAAGACUUACCUCGCCUCACCUCCUCUGCUCUCAAAACCAGUCCCUGGUGAGGACUUGUUUGUAUACCUGGCAGUGUCCAACUCAGCUAUUAGUUCAGCUCUCAUCCGAGAAGAGCUGGGGGCCCAACAUCCGGUAUUCUACACGUCAAAAGCUCUCCUCGAUGCAGAAACUCGCUACCCGAAGUUGGAGAAACUUAUUUUGGCUCUUGUAGUUUCUGCGAGAAAGCUGCGACCCUACUACCAAGCUCAUCGAGUCAUCGUCAUGACCGACUUUCCUUUGAGAUCAAUCCUCCACAGCCCUGAUGCUUCUCAGCGACUCAUGAAGUGGGCUAUAGAGCUAAGCCAAUAUGACCUCCUCUACCGGCCAAAAACUGCAAUAAAAGCCCAGGCUUUAGCAGACUUCGUCGUAGAAUUCACCCCGUCAGCCGAAAAAGAGAAGUUGGUCAACCAAAAGAAGGAAAGUUCAGAAGCAGACGGGACCUCCGAAGAACCUAUCCAACCCAGAAACAUGUGGCAGUUGCGCGUAGACGGAGCGUCGAACCAAAAAGGAGCUGGAGCAGGAGUCGUCAUCACCACUCCGGAUGGAACCCUGUUGGAGCAAGCUAUUACGCUUGGCUUCUCGGCCUCGAACAACGAGGCAGAAUACGAGGCAUUGCUCGCCGACCUACGCUUGGCAAAAGAGCUCGCAAUCAAAAAGCUAGCCAUCUACUCAGACUCACAAUUGAUCACAAAUUAAGCCUCAGGGGAAUACAUGGCAAAGCACCCAAGGAUGAUCUUGUACCUUGACAAAGUCCAAGAGCUGUUGAAGGCAUUUCCCACCUUCACCAUCCAACAAGUGCCUCGGGCAGAGAACGCUCAUGCAGACGCACUGGCAAGCCUAGGAUCAGCGCUGGAUACCCAGUUCAGACACUCCAUCCCGGUCGAACACCUUGACCGACCAAGCAUUGAAGAAAUAGAGCUAAUCGAUACCAUGCAGAUUGACGAGGACUCCAGUUGGCAAGACCCCCUUAUCGACUAUUUGACGAAUGGAAACCUGCCAACGGACAAGUCCGAAGCUAGAAAGGUCCAGCAGAAGGCCGCGAGAUACUACAUGCACGGCAACAAGCUCAUCCGCAGAUCAUACUCUGGCCCUCAUCUCACCUGCAUAAAGUACCCUCAAACACUUGAGGUUCUCUGCAAAAUUCACGACGGCGAGUGUGGCAACCACUCUGGGGGCAGGUCACUCGCCCAGAAGGCUCUAAACGUAGGCUAUUUCUGGCCUACUAUGCGCCAUGACUCUACUGAAUAUGUCAAAAGAUGUGAUCGCUGCCAACGGUACAAACCAGUUCCUAGUCUGCCUGCCGAAAUCUACCAUCCGCAGAACAGUCCGUGGCCUUUCAUGCAAUGGGCCAUCGACUUAGUAGGCCCCAUGCCAACGGCACCUGCCAAGAAAGAAAUGAUGAUCGUCGCCACUGAUUACUUUACUAAAUGGAUCGAGGCCGAAGCUCUAUCCUCUACUAAAGAAGAUGAUGUGGAACGAUUUAUCUGGAGAAAUAUUAUCUGCCGGUUUGGCUGCCCAAUCACUAGUCACCGACAAUGGCUCGCAAUUCAUCGGCAAGCAGAUCACUGCCUUCUACAAAAAGUACGGCAUCAAGCAGCAUUUAUCUACCCCAAGAUAUCCUCAAGGCAACGGCCAGGCCGAGGCAUCCAAUAAAAUAAUAUUGGACUGUCUAAAGAAGAGAUUAGAAGGCGCCGAAGGAAAAUGGGUAGAUGAGCUCCCUGGCGUACUAUGGGCUUAUCGCACCACCAAGCGAAGAUCAACUGGCGAAACCCCGUUUUCCCUCGCCUAUGGAACUGAAGCGAUCAUUCCUCCUCACAUCACUGUCCCUUCUAUAGGCAUCGAAGUGGGCAGUAUUGAGCAGAACUCCGAGCAGAUGAGACUCAACCUUGACUUACUUGAAGGCGAGCGCGAGAAGGCCAUUGUCCGAGUCGCCUCCUAUCAACAGCGGUUGAAGUCUUACUACGACAAAAGAGCCAAGAUCAGACAAUUUCAACCAGGCGACCUUGUCCUAAGAAAGGCCUUCAUCACUGCACAAAGACAAGGAUCUAAAAAGAUGAAACCCAAUUGGGAAGGCCCUUACAUAAUCAGCCGGUCCGGGGGCAGAGGAAGCUAUACGCUUGACACCAUGGAAGGGAAGGAGAUUCCGCGACAAUGGAACGCCUACCAUCUCCAAAGAUACUAUCCAUGACGCUUCCUCCUACCUGCUCAGUCCCCAGCAGACGACUGAGUACUGCACAUUUCUGAAAAAGAGAAGCAACUACUGCAAAUUCCAGAAUGUGCCACAACAAAAGACAGUUGCCCAUAAGGAGCGUCCUAAGGGAGACGCAGGGUGACGACAAAACGCGUCCGUUUGGAGACGUAGCCCGCUAAAAAAGCGUCCUAAGGGAGACGCAGGUGCGCCAGAAUUUCCUAAGGAGAUAUCCAGGUUCCUAUCCGUUUCCUAGGAGGCAGGAUAGUCACACAGUUGCCAUAGAGCGUCCUAAGGAGACGCAGUGACGACAAACGCGUCCGUUGGAGACGUANNNNNNNNNNNNNNNNNNNNNNNNNNNNNNNNNNNNNNNNNNNNNNNNNNNNNNNNNNNNNNNNNNNNNNNNNNNNNNNNNNNNNNNNNNNNNNNNNNNNUACUAAUUUUGCUUUUGAGAGAGAGAGAGAGAGAGAGAGAGAGAGAGAGAGAGAGAGAGAGAGAGGCAGGGUUUGCUUGUGUGGUUGUUGUUUAAGGCUUAAGGGAAAGGAAGGGAGGGAGUGAUGGAGAAGGGUGGCAAUUGGGGAGUGUGGUUUUAAAGUUUCAAGAGGGGGGGAUUGGGUUUGAACUUUGAAAUUCCAAGGGGUCUAGAGGCUUCGAAGGGGGUUAUGAAUUUUGAAGUACUUGUUUGGUGGCUUGAAGAAUAAGAAGAGAUUAACAAUGGUUGACCAAUGACCCUAAUUAAUUAAAGGCUCCAAGAAUGACAUGAGAAAGGGCUGCUGCUUUCUAGAAUGAUAGGAGCACAACUUUGGUUUUUCAUUUCAAUCCACUAUUGAAAUGACAAAGUU